rnacentral:rRNA from 1 species
AGCGAACGCUGGCGGCAGGCCUAACUCAUGCAAGUCGAACGAACCUUUCGGGGUUAGUGGCGGACGGGUGAGUAACACGUGGGAACGUGCCUUUAGGUUCGGAAUAACUCAGGGAAACUUGUGCUAAUACCGAAUGUGCCCUUCGGGGGAAAGAUUUAUCGCCUUUAGAGCGGCCCGCGUCUGAUUAGCUAGUUGGUUGAGGUAAUGGCUCACCAAGGCGACGAUCAGUAGCUGGUCUGAGAGGAUGAUCAGCCACAUUGGGACUGAGACACGGCCCAAACUCCUACGGGAGGCAGCAGUGGGGAAUCUUGCGCAAUGGGCGAAAGCCUGACGCAGCCAUGCCGCGUGAAUGAUGAAGGUCUUAGGAUUGUAAAAUUCUUUCACCGGGGACGAUAAUGACGGUACCCGGAGAAGAAGCCCCGGCUAACUUCGU